UACAGGACUCGAGAGACUCCCGUAGCCACCGCGAACCUACCCCAUCGUUGCCUCGGCGGGCUGCUCCCGCGCCCGCCGGCGGCCUACCACCCUGCCUCUACGCGUUGGCAUCUCCGAGCGGGCGAAACUAUCAAAACUUUCAACAACGGAUCUCUUGGUUCUGGCAUCGAUGAAGAACGCAGCGAAAUGCGAUAAGUAAUGUGAAUUGCAGAAUUCAGUGAAUCAUCGAAUCUUUGAACGCACAUUGCGCCCGCCGGCACCCCGGCGGGCAUGCCUGUUCGAGCGUCAUUGCACCCCUCAGGCCCGGCCUGGCGUUGGGGCCCUGCGCGCGCAGGCCCCGAAAGACAGCGGCGGCGCGCCCCCGGAACGGAACGCAGUAGUCUCCUCUCGUUCCCGCCCGGGGCGUCGUCCGGCCGUAAAAGCUCGCUAGGUUGACCUCGGAUCAGGUAGGAAUACCCGCUGAACUUAAGCAUAU
rnacentral:rRNA from 1 species